rnacentral:rRNA from 1 species
UAAGGAAUAUUGGUCAAUGCCCGGAAGGGUGAACCAGCCAUCCCGCGUGAAGGAUGAAGGGGCUCUGCCUUGUAAACUUCUUUUGAAUGGGACGAAAAAGCCUCACUUGUGAGGAACUGACGGUACCAUUAGAAUAAGCACCGGCUAACUCCGUGCCAGCAGCCGCGGUAAUACGGAGGGUGCGAGCGUUAAUCGGAAUUACUGGGCGUAAAGCGCACGUAGGUGGUUUUGUAAGUCGGAUGUGAAAGCCCUGGGCUCAACCUGGGAAUUGCAUUCGAUACUGCUUAACUAGAGUAUGGUAGAGGGAAGUGGAAUUUCCGGUGUAGCGGUGAAAUGCGUAGAUAUCGGAAGGAACACCAGUGGCGAAGGCGACUUCCUGGGCCAAUACUGACACUGAGGUGCGAAAGCGUGGGUAGCAAACAGGAUUAGAUACCCAAGUAGUCCCUGAGCGGGCUGGCAAGGCGCAU